UACGUAGGGGGCAAGCGUUGUCCGGAUUUAUUGGGCGUAAAGAGCUCGUAGGCGGUUCCGUAAGUCGUGAAGUCAAAUCUCUGGGCUCAACCCAGAAUCGCUUCCGAUACUGCGGUGACUGGAGUCCGGUAGGGGAGUGUGGAAUUCCCGGUGUAGCGGUGAAAUGCGCAGAUAUCGGGAGGAACACCAAUGGCGAAGGCAGCUCGCUGGGACGGUACUGACGCUGAGACGCGAAAGCGUGGGGAGCAAACAGG
rnacentral:rRNA from 1 species